AGCAGCCGCGGUAAUUCCAGCUCCAAUAGCGUAUAUUAAAGUUGUUGCAGUUAAAAAGCUCGUAGUUGAAUUUCGGGAUCAAUACGUCGGUCGUGCUUCGGUACGUACUGGCGUCAUUGGUUUCUCCCUUCUGACGAACCAUGAUGUCAUUAACUUGGUGUCAUGGGAAAUCAGGACUGUUACUUUGAAAAAAAUUAGAGUGUUUAAAGCAGGCUCACGCUUGAAUACAUUAGCAUGGAAUAAUGAAAUAGGACGUUCGAUCCUAUUUUGUUGGUUUCUAGGAUCAACGUAAUGAUUAAUAGGGAUAGUUGGGGGCAUUAGUAUUCAAUUGUCAGAGGUGAAAUUCUUGGAUUUAUUGAAGACUAACUACUGCGAAAGCAUUUGCCAAGGAUGUUUUCAUUAAUCAAGAACGAAAGUUAGGGGAUCGAAGACGAUCAGAUACCGUCGUAGUCUUAACCAUAAACUAUGCCGACUAGGGAUCGGAUGAUGUUAAUUUUUAAUGACUCAUUCGGCGUCCG
rnacentral:rRNA from 1 species